AUUCCAUGAUGUGGACAUUUUCUUAACAUCUCCUUUACCUUUCCCAUUUAUUGUAUAAUGAUUUGGGUUCCAAUUAUUGAAAAGAGGAGAUGUCACUUCUGAGUUU